rnacentral:misc_RNA from 1 species
GAUGAAGAACGCAGCGAAAUGCGAUACUAGGUGUGAAUUGCAGAAUCCCGUGAACCAUCGAGUCUUUGAACGCAAGUUGCGCCUCAAGCCAUUAGGUUGAGGGCACGUCUGCCUGGGCGUCACAUAUCGUUGCCUGAUGCCAGUUUCCUCGUGAUGGGUGACUGUGCAGGGCGAAUGAUGGCUUCCCGUGAGCAUUGUUGCCUCAUGGUUGGUUGAAAAUUGAGUCCUUGGUAGGGAGCGCCGUGAUAGAUGGUGGUUGAGUGACGAACGAGACCCAAUCAUGUGAGACCCCUACCGAAUUUGGCCUUCAUGACCCACAUGCGUCUUUGGAACGCUCAUGACGAGACCUCAGGUCAGGCGGGGCUACCCGCUGAGUUUAAGCAUAUCAAUAGCGGAGA